AGAUUAAACUGAAGAGUUUGAUCAUGGCUCAGAUUGAACGCUGGCGGCAGGCUUAACACAUGCAAGUCGAGCGGUAACAGAUCUAGCUUGCUAGAUGCUGACGAGCGGCGGACGGGUGAGUAACGCGUAGGAACCUGCCCAGUAGUGGGGGAUAGCCCGGUGAAAACCGGAUUAAUACCGCAUA
rnacentral:rRNA from 1 species